UGAAACUGUUUUUAUUGUUAAAAAAACCAUAAUGAACUUUAACCUAAAUUUUUCUACCAUCAUUUUAAAUUCUUUAGUUUAGUUUUUAAAAGAUAUAUUGAAAUGAUUUCUGAUGAUUUUGAUGGCGAUAUUGGAGAUUCGGAAUUUAUUAAAAGUAUUUUCGAACAUAAAUGUGAAUUAACCCAAAACAUUAAUUCCUCUAAGGACAAUUAUGUUUUGCAUAUUGCACCCAAAGGAGGAAGGAAUAACGGAAACAUAGCAGUAGCAUAUUCUAAAGGUUAUAUAGAUAUAUUUAAGCUUUCAAAUGAAGUUAU